CCUUCAACUCCACUACCUAUUCACUGAAAGCCAAUUAAGAGGUGACACGUGGUUCCUUGAGAUUGUGACACCUGUCCAAAGUUAGCUGCAGAAAGUGAACCCCAAAUGGGGGUCAACACUUGUGUUUUUCUCGGUUAUUCCCUGACUCAACAUGUUUUUCAAUGUUUGGACAUUCACACGGGUAAACUUUAUCUCUCUCGUCAUGUCACUUUUGAUGAAAACAUUUUUCCUCUCACAAAGGCAACUACUUCUGCUCCUACGGUUGCUACUACACCUUGUCCUGCUCAUUCAUCUCCUUCUCCCGUUCAUCCGGUUUGCAUGGUUCCAUCAGAUGAUAUUUCUGUCACACCUAUAGCGCCUGAUGCUAUGGAAACCUUGACUUCAUCUCCUACACUAGGUAUGACUUCCUCUUCUCCUACUAGUAAUCCAUCAUUCUCCGAGUCGUCUCUUCCUAUAGCACCCGCACCUCUUACCCGCAUUCAUCCCAUGGUCACUCAGGCUUAGAAUAAUAUUUUAUGUCCUAAGCAGCUCUCAGUUAUUACCAAGCACCCUCUUGCACCACCAUUGGAACCAACCUGUGUCUCUCAGGCCCUCAAGGACCCCCAGUGGCUUAAGGCCAUGGAAGAUGAAUUUACUGCCUUAGUUUGACAUGGCACUUGGAACCUGGUUCCUAGGUCCUCUGUUUCCAAUUUAAUUGGUUGUAAAUGGAUGUUUCGAAUUAAGCAUCAUCUAGAUGGUACAAUAGAUCGGUUUAAGGCACGUCUUGUCACUAAAGGGUUCAAUCAGCACCUGGGUGGCGAUUAUACUGAGACCUUCAGUCCCAUUAUAAAACCCACCACCAUUCGGCUUAUCCUCUCGCUGGCCUUGCCAAACAAUUAACCUCUCAAGCAAAUCUACUUCAAUAACGCGUUUCUUCAUGGUCAGUUAACUGAGCAAGUGUUUAUGCAGCAACCUGCAGGCUUCAUUGAUCAAUCCCAUCCUCGUCAUGUUUAUUCUCUUCAGAAAUCCAUUUAUGGUCUUAAGCAGGCACCCAGAGCCUGGUACAACGAAUUGCGCUCAGGCCUUCUUGAGUUGGGGUUCUUUAAUUCGAAGUCUGAUAGCUCCUUAUUCAUCUUCAAUCGAGAUGGAAUUCUACUAUAUGUGUUGGUAUACGAUGAUUUAAUCCUCACCGGCAAUAACAGUCAGUUUUUACAACAUGUUAUCAAGUCCUUAGGUUGAAGAUGGUUGGUGCUAAGGAAGUUCAAACACCCAUGUAUGUGUCUGCUAAUCUCAUGCUUGAUGAUGGUUCAACUAGCUGUGAUGCUAUUGAAUACAGACGCACCAUUGGCUCUCUCCAAUACCUCUUGCUCACUCGCCCAUACCUCGAUUUCGCAGUCAAUCGUCUUGCUCAGUUCAUGCACAAAUCGACGGUCACGCACUGGCAACAUGUUAAAUGGCUCUUGUGCUAUGUCAAACAGACCAUUCACUUCAGUCUCUUAUUGCGUCAUCAAUCAAACUCAAUGCUUAAGGGCUUCUCCGAUGCUGACUGGGGUGGUGAUCUUGAUGAUCGAAAGUCUACCACGGCUUAUAUGAUUUUUAUGGGCAAUAAUCCUAUCAGUUGGCGCACUAUGAAGCAAAAGGUCGUGGCUCGCUCCUCUACGGAAGCAGAAUAUCAGGCACUGGUCACUGCAGCUUCAGAUAUUAUUUACUGUUCUUUUCAAUAACAUAACAUCCAUGUAUAAGAAAAAAAACUAGGAAGCCAUAGUUUGUCAAGGAAUGGAGGAACUGUGAAUUGUUUUUGCAAUGGAGAGGACCCAAUUU